rnacentral:rRNA from 1 species
GGGUUGUGAGGUUAAGCGACUAAGCGUACACGGUGGAUGCCCUGGCAGUCAGAGGCGAUGAAGGACGUGCUAAUCUGCGAAAAGCGUCGGUAAGGUGAUAUGAACCGUUACAGCCGGCGAUGUCCGAAUGGGGAAACCCAGUGUGAUUCGUCACACUAUCGUUAACUGAAUACAUAGGUUAACGAGGCGAACCGGGGGAACUGAAACAUCUAAGUACCCCGAGGAAAAGAAAUCAACCGAGAUUCCCCCAGUAGCGGCGAGCGAACGGGGAGCAGCCCAGAGUCUGAAUCAGCUUGUGUGUUAGUGGAACGGUCUGGAAAGUCCGACGGUACAGGGUGAUAGUCCCGUACACCAAAAUGCACAGGCUGUGAACUCGAAGAGUAGGGCGGGACACGUGGUAUCCUGUCUGAAUAUGGGGGGACCAUCCUCCAAGGCUAAAUACUCCUGACUGACCGAUAGUGAACCAGUACCGUGAGGGAAAGGCGAAAAGAACCCCGGCGAGGGGAGUGAAAAAGAACCUGAAACCGUGUACGUACAAGCAGUGGGAGCACCUUCGGGUGUGACUGCGUACCUUUUGUAUAAUGGGUCAGCGACUUAUAUUCUGUAGCAAGGUUAACCGUAUAGGGGAGCCGCAGGGAAACCGAGUCUUAACUGGGCGUUAAGUUGCAGGGUAUAGACCCGAAACCCGGUGAUCUAGCCAUGGGCAGGUUGAAGGUUGGGUAACACUAACUGGAGGACCGAACCGACUAAUGUUGAAAAAUUAGCGGAUGACUUGUGGCUGGGGGUGAAAGGCCAAUCAAACCGGGAGAUAGCUGGUUCUCCCCGAAAGCUAUUUAGGUAGCGCCUCGUGAAUUCAUCUUCGGGGGUAGAGCACUGUUUCGGCUAGGGGGUCAUCCCGACUUACCAACCCGAUGCAAACUACGAAUACCGAAGAAUGUUAUCACGGGAGACACACGGCGGGUGCUAACGUCCGUCGUGAAGAGGGAAACAACCCAGACCGCCAGCUAAGGUCCCAAAGUCACAGUUAAGUGGGAAACGAUGUGGGAAGGCACAGACAGCCAGGAUGUUGGCUUAGAAGCAGCCAUCAUUUAAAGAAAGCGUAAUAGCUCACUGGUCGAGUCGGCCUGCGCGGAAGAUGUAACGGGGCUAAACUGUGCACCGAAGCUGCGGCAGCGACACUAUGUGUUGUUGGGUAGGGGAGCGUUCUGUAAGCCUGCGAAGGUGGCCUGUGAGGGUUGCUGGAGGUAUCAGAAGUGCGAAUGCUGACAUAAGUAACGAUAAUGCGGGUGAAAAGCCCGCACGCCGGAAGACCAAGGGUUCCUGUCCAACGUUAAUCGGGGCAGGGUGAGUCGACCCCUAAGGCGAGGCCGAAAGGCGUAGUCGAUGGGAAACAGGUUAAUAUUCCUGUACUUGGUGUUACUGCGAAGGGGGACGGAGAAGGCUAUGUUAGCCGGGCGACGGUUGUCCCGGUUUAAGCAUGUAGGCGGAGGUUCCAGGUAAAUCCGGUACCUUUUUAACGCUGAGGUGUGAUGACGAGGCACUACGGUGCUGAAGUAACAAAUGCCCUGCUUCCAGGAAAAGCCUCUAAGCAUCAGGUAACAUUAAAUCGUACCCCAAACCGACACAGGUGGUCAGGUAGAGAAUACCAAGGCGCUUGAGAGAACUCGGGUGAAGGAACUAGGCAAAAUGGUGCCGUAACUUCGGGAGAAGGCACGCUGAUAUGUAGGUGAAGCCCCUGCGGGUGGAGCUGAAAUCAGUCGAAGAUACCAGCUGGCUGCAACUGUUUAUUAAAAACACAGCACUGUGCAAACACGAAAGUGGACGUAUACGGUGUGACGCCUGCCCGGUGCCGGAAGGUUAAUUGAUGGGGUUAUCCGUAAGGAGAAGCUCUUGAUCGAAGCCCCGGUAAACGGCGGCCGUAACUAUAACGGUCCUAAGGUAGCGAAAUUCCUUGUCGGGUAAGUUCCGACCUGCACGAAUGGCGUAAUGAUGGCCAGGCUGUCUCCACCCGAGACUCAGUGAAAUUGAACUCGCUGUGAAGAUGCAGUGUACCCGCGGCAAGACGGAAAGACCCCGUGAACCUUUACUAUAGCUUGACACUGAACAUUGAGCCUUGAUGUGUAGGAUAGGUGGGAGGCUUUGAAGCGUGGACGCCAGUCUGCGUGGAGCCAACCUUGAAAUACCACCCUUUAAUGUUUGAUGUUCUAACGUUGGCCCCUUAUCGGGGUUGCGGACAGUGUCUGGUGGGUAGUUUGACUGGGGCGGUCUCCUCCCAAAGAGUAACGGAGGAGCACGAAGGUUAGCUAAUCCUGGUCGGACAUCAGGAGGUUAGUGCAAUGGCAUAAGCUAGCUUGACUGCGAGCGUGACGGCGCGAGCAGGUGCGAAAGCAGGUCAUAGUGAUCCGGUGGUUCUGAAUGGAAGGGCCAUCGCUCAACGGAUAAAAGGUACUCCGGGGAUAACAGGCUGAUACCGCCCAAGAGUUCAUAUCGACGGCGGUGUUUGGCACCUCGAUGUCGGCUCAUCACAUCCUGGGGCUGAAGUAGGUCCCAAGGGUAUGGCUGUUCGCCAUUUAAAGUGGUACGCGAGCUGGGUUUAGAACGUCGUGAGACAGUUCGGUCCCUAUCUGCCGUGGGCGCUGGAGAAUUGAGGGGGGCUGCUCCUAGUACGAGAGGACCGGAGUGGACGCAUCACUGGUGUUCGGGUUGUCAUGCCAAUGGCAUUGCCCGGUAGCUAAAUGCGGAAGAGAUAAGUGCUGAAAGCAUCUAAGCACGAAACUUGCCCCGAGAUGAGUUCUCCCUGAGACUUUAAGUCUCCUGAAGGAACGUUAAAGACGAUGACGUUGAUAGGUCGGGUGUGUAAGCGUAGCGAUACGUUGAGCUAACCGAUACUAAUGAACCGUGAGGCUUAACCUUACAACGCCGAAG